rnacentral:rRNA from 1 species
AUGCUGGGCUCCAGAUUCAUCGAGUUCGAACUGGAAUAUUCAAAAACCUGGAACCUUUCAGUCGGCGACGUCGUCCGCUCCGAUGAGAUCUUUGCCGGAGGGCACGUCUGGAAGAUAUACUGUUACCCACAUGGCACCAAGAAGGCCAACACAGGCAGAUACGUCUCCCUGUACCUACGGCUCGUCAGCAAAGCCAAAUGUGUCAAGGCCAUCUUUGAGGCUUCCCUGCUACGCAGAGGCGGCCCUGGGCGUGCAAAAAGAUGUACCAAGGUGUACCCACCUAAUGGCAUGAGCUCUAGGAGCAGGGGAUGGCAUGAGUUUGUAAGCCGAAGCGAUCUGGAGUCUGGUUCCGUCCGGAAAGGAUGCGUUACAUUUUUAUGUGGGAUCACGGUUCUGUGUGACAGCUCCAUUGCUGUGCCAGCCUCAGACAUAGAGAGCCAUCUUGGCGGUCUGCUGGAUCGUUCCGAGGGGACGGAUGUUUCAUUCUGCGUGAAAGGCGAGACGUUUCAUGCGCAUCGGGCAAUUCUCGCCGCGCGGUCACCGGUCUUCAAGGCGGAGCUCUUUGGCCCCAUGGCCGAGGCUACAAUGGCGUGUGUCACGCUGCAUGAAAUUGAACCCGUGGUGUUUAAAACCCUGCUUCGAUUCGUGUACACUGAUUCCCUGCCUGUAGACAGAGAGCUUGGGGACUCUGUCACUGAUAUGGUAAAGCAUCUGCUUGCUGCAUCGGAUCGGUAUGCAUUGGACCGGUUGAAGCUCGCAUGUGCUCAGAAGUUGUGGGAAGGUGUGUCGGCUGAUACGGUUGCGGAUGCUUUAGCUUGCGCUGAGAUAUACAAUUGCCAAGAGUUGAAGAGCAGGUGCAUUGACUUUGUUAUGGCAAAAGAUAAUUUCAAGAAGACUGUGUUGACUGAAAGUUUCAUUAGUUUGUUGCAUAAAUUCCCCUCUAUUCGUGCUGAGCUGAGAGCGAAGGUUGGGAGUUGA